rnacentral:tRNA from 1 species
GACCCCGUAGCUCAGUUGGAUAGAGCAGCAGACUUCUAAUCUGUCGGUCGAGAGUUCGAGUCUCUCCGGGGUCG